GGGCCCGUAGCUCAGCGGUAGAGCACCACGCUGAUAACGUGGGGGUCGUGAGUUCGAAUCUCACCGGGCCCA
rnacentral:tRNA from 1 species